CCUACGGGAGGCAGCAGUGAGGAAUAUUGGUCAAUGGACGGAAGCCUGAACCAGCCACGCCGCGUGCAGGAAGACGGCUCUAUGAGUUGUAACCUGCUUUUGUACAAGGGUAAACCUGAAUACGUGUAUUCAGCUGAACGUACUGUACGAAUAAGGAUCUGCUAACUCCGUGCCAGCAGCCGCGGUAAUACUGAGGAUCCAAGCGUUAUCCGGAUUUAUGGGGGUUAAUGGGUGAUUAGGCGGAUUGAUAAGUGAGACGUGAAAGGUCCGAGCUUAACUCGUGAACUGCCUCUAAUACUGUGGGUCUAGAGAGUAGGUGCGGUAGGCGGAAUGUAUGGUGUAGCGGUGAAAUGCUUAGAGAUCA
rnacentral:rRNA from 1 species